AUUUACUUUCUUGAACCAUGCAACUGCAGUUAAAAAACUCCAAUUUGAAUAGACCUAGAUAAGAAUCAUCAAGUAUUGAAUGGGCCCUGAUUAUAUGGCCCUUUUCAUCCAAAGGUAGUGUUUAUUUACACCUGUGUACUGUAUUUUCUAAAUUCUCUCGUGUCACACUUGGGCUUGUUGGGGACUAAUGCUGAUGCGAAGAGAUGGAAUUUAACCUUGCGC
rnacentral:misc_RNA from 1 species